UUUCCUCUCUUCUCUUAUAAAGACAUCAAUCCAUGGAUAUUGGUCCCAUUCUAAUCCAGGAUAAUGUCAUUUAAAUUUUUUUAAAUUUUUUUUGCAGUAAGACAUGUCACAUAAGAUCUACUCUCUUAACACAUUUUUAUAUGUAAACUACAUCAUUGAGAACCACAGGUACAGGGUGCUACAGAUCUCUAGGGUUUAUUCAUCUUGCUAAACUACCUUACUUUGAUGUUUUUUCUUUUUGGCUUUUUAUAGCCGCUCCUACAGCAUAUGGAAGUUUCCAGGCUAGGGGUCACACUGGAGCUGCAGCUGCUGGGCUACACCACAGCCAUGGCAACAUGGGUCCGAGCUACGUCUGCAACCUACACCAUAGCUCAUGGAAUGCUGGAGCCUUACUCCACUGAGCAAGGCCAGGGAUCAAACCCGCAUCUUCGUGGAUGCGAGUCCGGUUCGUUACUGCUGAGCCACAAUGGGAACUCCCUGCCUCACUAUAAUUUCAUUACAGCUGCAAAAGCCUUAUUUCCAGUUUCCCAUUCACAGGUGCUGGGGGUCUAGAGUCAAUCUAGCUCUGGACACAGGGCACACAAUUCAACCUGCGAUAGAUGGGUUUGAGGAUUAAGUGGACUCUUGAGCUGUCUGGGUUCAAAUCUUGGCUGGACCCCUCACUAGCAGGUCACCUAUGCUCUCAAAGCCUUCGUUUCCUCAGUUUUGGAAAAGGGCCUGAUGCUAGCACCUCCCUCCUAGGGCCGUCAGGAAGGUUACGUGGCAUCAUGCAAGACGCAAGCAUCCUGCCCCACACACAGACAGUGCCUGGCGAGCAUGAGGUGCGACACAGCCUUAGGAUCAUCACCAGCCCUGCGACCCCACCUCGAAGGCCACUUCCAAACACCAGGACCCUCAUCUAGGGCAACAGAGAGCACGUACUCCCUGUUCCAUGUGAUGUUCGCGCUGCCUGGAAAUCAGGGCUCUGCCCCCACCUUCAUUCCCCCUCCUUGUGUGAAAGGCUGGCUCCUUCCCAGCCUUGGGACCUUGUCUUCACUGACAUCUACUCCCUAAGACCUUUUUGGCCCCUCAGGGACUUUCCAAGUCACUUGCCCAGCUGCUCCGCCCUCCCUUCCACAACUAUCUGUGAUGCUGGUACCCGACUCUGGCUACAGGUGCCGCUGGACCCAUCAAAGGGGCAGCUGGGCCGCCUAAUACAAUACAGGAGGGCAGUUCAAUUUGGAAUGUCAGCUACUUUUGAAUUUUAGUAUAAGCAUGCCACAAAUACUGCAAAUAUUGUGCUGGGAUGCUGGCCAGCACAGCUCAGAGGUAAACGCCCUGAGAGUAGUUCUCAACCACUGACAGAUGGGGAACUGGUAGGGAAGGACCCCAGUUUCCUGGCCCUGCCUAGGGGAUGAUUCAGAGGCAACGUCUUCUGCACCGAUUCCCAGAAUUCCCUGGGUGGAUCCUGGACCACUUCUCUGCUGCAGCAUCCUUUAAUUAAGGCACCCGGUGUUGGCUCACUCCCCUUUCCAGUCUCCUCUUCUCACCUCCUUGGGAAAACACAACCCAAGACUCCCGCCCCAGCCUUCUAUUAUGAACCGAAUGUCUUCAUCCCUCCCAAAUUCAUACCUUGAAAUCCUCACCCUCCCCUCCAUGGGAUGCUAUUAGGAAGUGGGGCCUUUGGGAGGUGAUGAGAUCAUAAGGGCAGAGGCCUCGUGAAUGGAAUUGGUGUGCUUAAAUAAGGACUGCAGAGAGCUCUCCUGGCCUCUUUCUACAUGUGAUGACAUAAGAAGUAGGCUGUCUGCAACCUGGAAGAGGGCUCCCACCAGAACCUGACCACACUGGCAGCCGGAUCUCAGACUUCAGGCUCCUGAACUAUGAGAAGUAAGAAUAUGUUGCCUAUAAGCUUCCUGGUCUGUGGUACUUUUUAGAGCAACCCAAUUAAGACACCUCCCACCACUGUCCUCCACGCAGCCCUUGUUUAUUCAAGAGCUAUCAUCACAACUUGUUCUCGUGCACACACACACACCUACACACACACACACACACACACACACACCUACACACACCCCUGUUCGUCUCUUUGCUCAGUCUCUGCCCCACUAUGAUGUGAGUGCUGCUACCCUGACGGGGUCAUUUACUGCGGCACUCCAGCACUGAGCUCUGGGCUGGCCCUUAACACAAACUUUCUAGAUAAUGAAGGCACAAGAAAUGAACAAGAAAGAGGCUUUCUGUGCCAGCAGAGAGCAAGAUGGUUUUCAGCUCUGCAGAGCUGCAAUGAACAGAGGCCAGACAGCAGAGACCUGCCCUGGGACCUCCCCUUUGUCACCAUUCCAAUUUGACCUUGGAGAGCUGCCCGAGCCCUCUCACCUCAGUCUCCUCAUCUGUAAAACGAGGAGUUGGGACGAGAUAACCUCUCCUCUCCUGUGUCUUCCGUCUCUCAAAUCUUAUGACUCAAUAUUCUAGGUAGUAAACUUUACAGCUAUGAAUAAAUUAAUGGAAAUGAAUAUUGAAAUGAUGUGCAAACAUUUGGGCGAGUGCUUUCCUAGUCUUUUAUGAAGUGGGAGAGUAAGAAAUAAAACCGAGAUACAAGCCAUCAGCAACAUUUGUGUUGGUGGAAAUGCAGGGCCUUCCCCCUGUGUUCUGGGAAGGCGAGGUAAAUGCAUUCAAUAAAAAACCCACAGUGGGGAGUUCCCACUGUGGUGCCGUGGGGUGGGAACCUGACUGGAGUGGCUUGGGCCACUGCAGAGGCACAGGUUUGAUCCCUGGCCUGAAGCAGUGGGUUAAAGGAUCUGGCGCUGCUGCAGCUGCACAGUAGGUUGCAGCUGCAGCUUGGAUUCAGUGACUAGAAGAUGAAUUUCCAUAUACCACAAGUACAGCCAAACAAACAAAAGCUCAGUGAGAAAGGGGUCAAAAGAAAACCGGGCAUCUGGGAAGUUGGAAGCCCCCAAAGGGAGAGAUGUUCCACAUUUGGAUAUUCUUGGAAAUGAUCCUCAGAUCCAGAGAAGCAGGAAAGGAAACUGGACCAAAUAUGCUCUCCAGCUCUCUUGGUUCUUUAGAGCCAAAUGCCAGAGAUUGGGUGGCUUAUCAACACAGAACUUUAUUUCUCACAGUUGUGGAGAUGGGGCUGCCAGCCUGGUCAGGUGAGGGCUUUCUGGGUGGCAGACCUCACCUUGUGUCCAAAGAUGAUGGAAGGGACAAGGAGCUCUCUUGGAUCUUUUUAUAAGGGCACUAAUCUCAUGUAUGAGUGCUCCACCCUCAUGACGUAAUUAUGUGCCAAAGGCCCCACCUUCUAAUUAUAUCCCCUUAAAGGGUAGGAUUUCAACAGUCAACCAUAGCACCAUAUCGAUAACUCCCUGGCACUGUCAUGAUGCUCAGCUAUACCUGGCAUAAGCGAAUGGUGACUUCACAGCUGAGUGCUUUGUUUACUACUCAUUAUCACCUACUGUAAAUCAAGCAGAGAACCCUUCUCUUGGGCCAGUAGACUUGAACCAAAAAUCUUGACUUUCAAGAUAAAAAUGCUCAAGAGGAAAGGAGGACUAGAUACUUAAAGGUGAAACCAGCUAAAUUCUCCUGUUGGCAGGAAGCUGGGAAGGAGAGGCAGAGGUAAGAUUCUUCAGCUGAGCCUGUGCCAUGUCUAGUCCUGGGGUUCAUGCAAGUCUGGGCAUCAGAUUUUGUUCACUGAAGCCCCCCCCACCAGAAAGAAGUGCAUUUGUGGGAGGUGCCAAGCAGGGUACUAGGACACAACUCAUCCUCAAGAAGGAGACAUGCCUGCUUAGCUUGACCCAGUUACAAAGCUUGAGCAGAUGGGUGGGAUAAGGAUUUGAAUUCAGGAUGGAGACUGUUACACAAAUCUGUUUCCUACCAGACCCAGUAGACACACAUCAGGAUUCAAGGGAUGGUGUGAUCAGUAGAUCAAAACCAGCUGUUCUUUGGACAAAACUCUGUAAUAUGAUGACCCUAAAUCCUUGCGCCACUGGGUCACCUUGAUCUUUUUCUAUCUUCCUGGUCUGGGCAUCACUCAAGCUGAUUUGUUCCCAAAAUUACCUACUGCCUUUCUUGUAGGACUUUCCAGUUUCUUGCCAAUUAACAGCUCUUUGCUUUUUUCCCUCCUCCACCCCUUUCUCUCUCUCUUCCUUUCUUCCUUUCUUUCUUUCUGGCUUUCAUUUCUCCCAUCAUACUUCUUCAGAGGAAGACGUGAAAAAGUGAAAUCAUGCUGAUCAUUGAUGACUGACCCAAAAACCACAUAGAAGACUGAGCACAUGAUUUCAAUUAGGUUUAAAUUUUCAUUCCUAAAGGAUACAGAACAGGGUCUUCUUGCGACUAAAUGAUUAGGCGAAAGACCUCCUGAGCAAGGAGUUACCAUGACGCUGGGGGCUCUGUCAGUACCCUGGUUGGAUGUCCUGCCAUUUCCACAAACAAAAUGAAAAUCUAACAGAGAGAGAAAGAAUGAUCAAGGGGAAAAAACCUCAGGUACAGAGUCAUGAUGUCUCGAGGCUGGGCUGCUUAUAUAUCAUGAACCCUUGCUCCUCCUGCAAAGGCGCAGGAUCCAACAGGUACCUGUGCCCUUGAGCGCUGGGGGAUAUUUACACGAUUCAUCACAUUUACUCAGGGGCCGUGGGAAGAAGUCAGAUAACAGGCCGGGCACUUCUCAAGAGUUGCUUUGUCAUAACAGUCCCCCAAUGUGCUCAUGUCACUGAUGAGAAGUCAGAAAAGUGAGGUCACUCGCCCAACAACACCCAGCUGACAAAAGGCAGAGCUGGGAUUGGAUUUGGGGACUGUCACGCUCCAGGAACUCUUGCCUUUCUAGUCUAGCUUCCCUCCCAAAGCCGAAUAUCCCACUGUGUCUUCAGAAUUGUUGAAAUGGUCCUUCAUUUUCCGGUCAAUGAGAAAAUGAAGUACAAGAAAAAAAAAAAUCAGAGUUCCCGUCGUGGCGCACUGAUUAACGAAUCCGACUAGGAACCAUAAGGGUGCAGGUUCGAUCCCUGGCCUCGGUCAGUGGGUCAAAGAUCUGGCGUUGCCAUGAGCUGUGGAGUAGGUCGAAGACGUGGCUCGGAUCUGGCAUGGCUGUGGCUCUGGGGUAGGCCGGCAGCUACAGCAGCGAUUCAACCCCUGGCCUAGGAACCUCCAUAUGUGGCAGGUGUGGCCCUAGAAAAGACAAAAAAGUAAAAGAAAAAGAAAAAAAAAAUCACAGCAAUGAAAAGGAGACCCAUUGAGAGAGACAGAUUUGAGAUGGAGCAUGUUGGGGGAGGGGACGACUGCUUCUUUCCUCUCACACAGGGCCGGGCAUGGCUUGGGGUACCAACGAUUCAGUCUCUUCGCCAGUCAGAACUGGGUCAGAUAUUCUAACAGCGAGGACGGUCUGUUCUGGGCUCCAGCUGUUAUCUGAGCCGCACAGCUGGGGGGAGAACUCCAACUCGCUUCCUGGGCUCAGAGCUCGAGGUUUCAAGAGGUCUCCAAGCAGCCCGUGCUGGCGCCUCCCAGCUGGAAAGAGGAGGCGGGAGGGGGGCAGAGAAGAGGGUGAGCAGGGAAGCCGGCGGAGGGGACACGAGCGAUGGCCAUUCUUGCAUCUUGGGGAACAAAUGAUUAUCCAGUUCGCCUGAACCUGCCUAUCUCAUGGUUCAGGGAGAAUUUGCUGCCAGCUGUUUGUGGGUAAGAAGCUGAAUUCUUUGAAAGAGCACUAGGAAAAGAGCCACAGAGGAUGCUGAUGAAACAGAGGUUCCUGGCUGCAAUGUGAUGGCUAGGAUCAAGUCGCAAAGUCCUAGUGGGGGGUCACCCCUGCCCAGCAUCUACGAGGCUAGCAAUCCAUUGGAUUUUCCCUGAUCCCUAGAGACAUCAUGGGCUGGAGCCAUUGUUUUGGAGGGUGGACACCUGUAUUCCUGAGACUCUGAGCUCACAGACCACGCACAAGGUCUGUUUCUAAACAUUCCCGACAUGCACAAGGCCAAACCUUGGACCCCACCAACAUCCUGUCUUGGAAACACUCCAUCUCCGUGCGUGUGCUGUUGAAUCUGCCUGAGACACAGAGGAGAGAAAACUACUCUGACUGCCUCCCACUUACCCGGAUGUUCCCGCUCCCUGUUCCCAGGUUCUUGGUGAAAAAACAGGGAGUUGUUCUAUGAAUUUCAUAAUUUAGAGAUAAAUAAUGAAGACCAAACUUGGAGCAAAAUACCCUAGUGUUCAUUUUAUUUAAUAUUCUCCAUUGGUGGAAAUAAAUUAAAAAUGAACAAGGCUUGUUUAUGCCUGCCUCACAUUGCCCUCCACUUUUGAAUAGCAACCGCAUAUUAAUUUGCCAAGAUCCCAUAAAUUAUAAUUAGCCCGGAGGAUUAACAACAUAAAUCCUUGAAUUUAAAACCAACCUGCCCGGCUCUCUCUUCCCUAUGCCCUAAAGUGAAAAAGAGCCAUAAAACCUAUCACCGCUACUUGAUCCAUUAAACUCCGGAGACAUUCUUAUUUCAGCUUAGCUGGUGGAGGUAGUCUUUGUUACAUCUUUUUAAAGUUACAGUAGCUCGACUGGCACUGAGAGACUGGGAGACGGGUCUGUGUGCGGAUGCCCAGCCCCAAGAGAAGAGUGGAAAGGGGGUCAAAGGACUGUGUCUUGGCUUGGCACGUCCUGGCACAGGGUCCUGGCACAGAUCACAGAUUUAAAGUAUCCCCGACUCUACACUGCAUGUCAUGUGUUGUUGAGAGUCCCAGUGUGCUUGGAAGAUUACAUGGCCUGCAUGUGUGCACACACGCAUGCGCACACACACAGGUCAUAGUCUGACCUUGAAUCCGUCCAAGUUCCUGCCAAGCAGACUGGGGAGACAAGACAGGAUCAUGCUGCUUCAAUGAUGACAACGUAUUUAACACAAGACUAUGAUGAUUCUUAAAACACCAGAAAAAGACAGAUGUCUUAUGAUACCGCUUCUACGUGGCAUCUGAAAAGACAGUGAUAUAAAUGAACCCAUUUCCAAAACAGAAAUAGACUCACAGACAUUGGAAAAAAACUUAAAGUUGCCAAACAGGAAAGGGUGCAGAGAGGGACAAGUUAGGAGGCUGGGAUUAACAGAUAGGCAGGACUGUGUCUAAAACAGGUAACCAACAAGGACCUACUGUUACAGACCAGGGAACUGUACUUCCUAUUUUGAUACUUUGUAAUAACUUGUAAGGGAAAAGACCAUGAAAAAGAAUAUAUGUACACACACACACACACACACACACACACGCAUAACUGAAUCACUUUGCUGUACACCUGAAACUAACACAACAUUGUAAAAUAAACUUCGAUAAAAACAAAACAAAAUAAGCUUCAGUGAAAACAAAGCACUGGCUUUCCUGAUCAGCAAAAUGGCAAAGCUCUCUGAAGGGUGCUCGGUACACAAGGUACACCUGUGCACGGACCAGCCUGGACAAUCUCUCCCCUCCUGAGCACACCCCUCUGCCUGCAGUCACUUGCUUUCACACCCUGUCUCUCCCUGGUGCCGUCUGCAGCCCUGGCCAAGAAGGGCUAGAACAGGAUUCCAGAACACUUGUGGGGAUGCGGUUCUUCUGCAUUCAACCUGCGACUCACCUGUGCAGGUGGCCGCCCUUGGCUUGUGGAGGGAAAGGCGGGCACCUGAAAAGAAAUCCCUGGCUGCCUGCCUGUCAGUCUGCAGUCUCCCUCUGCACCCUUCUGCUUCCUUGGCCUUAACCUGGGCUCCCAGCCCGUGGCUCACAUCAUCGAGCCUGAUCUCGCCCUCCUGGGGGCCCCCCUUCUUGCCUUUUGCACGUGACCUGCUCUGUGCCCAGGUGACGUCCCCUGCUCACUGCCCCCAGGUGCCCUGCUAGACCAGGAGGUCGGGAGGAGGGAGAGAGUCUUACUCCCCUCUCUCCAGGCCCCUGCCCCUUCAGCACUUCACGGGGAACAGUAAGGGCUCGAACAGGAUUUGUGAAAUCCAUGAGAUCAUAAAAAGGAACAAAGAUUUACACCACAAGCAAAAAAAAGAAAAAAGAAAUUCAGUGUCUGUCCUGGGCCCCCAGCAAGGCUGAGGCUUCUUAUAUGCGGAGAAUAAUAGAUAUUGUGUGGAGCCAUCCUGAUCUUGUUUAUCAGAAAUGAGAAAGGUAACGAAAGUUUUUUGAGCAUUUGAACUUCCCGAGCCAGGCAUGUAUUCUGAUUAUCGGGUAGGUUUUCCCAACCGCCAGAUAAUAUGCGAGUUACCAUCCCAUUUCACAGAUAAGCACGUGGAGACCUACGGAGAGGAAGCCAGGGGCCCUGUGUAACGGCCCCAGGGUGACGAGUCCAGGCAGGAAGGUUUGCUGCUAAUACGACAUUCCCUGACCCCCUUCCACCGGCUGCUGCAGCACGUACCGUAACGUCUACCUCUUCCAAAGGUGUGCAGGUGUCUAGAGGGUUCAGGGAGCCCUCUGGAGCUGCCCUCACUCAGGGGAGCACGCCGGGCACAGCGGAAGGUGCGAUGUCAUCCCUAGGCUGACUGCUCUCACUGACAGUUCUGAAGACCAUUCGCAGCCAGAAAGAGAACAACUCGCGAAAGUUCCUGCCCCAGAGUCAGGAACUCUGACAACCACACAUGGGGUAGAGCCAUACAGGCUUACUGGCCUCAUACCUGUCUCCUGUCCUGACUGUGGGCUCAAGGGACCCGAACUCAUGUGGGUCGCUCAGCCCUUCA
rnacentral:lncRNA from 1 species